rnacentral:tRNA from 1 species
GGCACUAUGGCCGAGUGGUUAAGGCGAGAGACUCGAACGAUCUCUUGGGCUCUGCCCGCGCUGGUUCAAAUCCUGCUGGUGUCG